AGAGAUAGUCAUAGAUCGUGACUAGGGUGAAAUAAAGAAAGAUCAAUGAGA
rnacentral:ncRNA from 1 species